rnacentral:lncRNA from 1 species
CAGUUGGACUGUUGGAGCUCAGUGUAGGGUGAGAGUGUGGCAAAGAUACCUUCAAAUAUCCCUGCAAAUGUCUUACUUCCUGCCUUUGCCUAAAUCCAAAACUUGGAGUCAUCCUUGACUCUCCCUUCUUUUCUGCUCGUGUCUUGACUGUCAUUGUCUUCUAUCCACUUCCUGGGGGCAUCACAAAAUCCAGGUCACUGCCAUAUCUUGCCUAGACCACUGGGUCAGCCUCCUGGUUGCUCCCACUCCUACACCUGUCCCUGAUCACCCACCCUGUGGCAGUAGCCAGAGGGUUCCUUUAAAAACACAGAUAUGCUCACAUCACUCCCUGACUAUAACCCUCCAGUAGCUUCCUGAUGCCCUCAGGCUAAAAUCCAAGCUCUCCUGACAAUAGUGGCUUAGGGUACUUCCUGCCUUCACCUCUGGCCUCUGAUCCCACCAGCCCCCUGCUCUCUGUGUCCAAGUGAUGCUCAGCUUCCGUGUCUCCAAUGCUUCUCAUUCACUCUACUCACAGGGUAGAAUCCAGGACCGUGCCUGAGAUCCUGGAAUUGAGGGGACAGUUGAUUGAGGAAACAGCCCCGAUAAAUACAACAACUUGGUUUUAGCAUUUUUCUCUUAUUCUCUUAUAGCAAAGUCUCUUCUCUCAGCGACUUUCCUGGGAGACUGAAAAUUGGUCACUAUUCCUAGAGGUCUACUUGGUACUGACUCUUUAUUUCUUGCCCAAAUGUCCUGGGACUCCCUGCCCUGGUAGAUGUUAACAAAUGAGUCAACCAAAUAAAGUCCUGUGGGCCUGCUGCCAUCCUGCCUCUCAUAGAACCCUCACAGCCACUCUGGGACAUAGGUUGGUGGUAUUACCAUUAUCCCCACUCUACAGACAACAAAACUGAGGCACAGAGCGGGGAGGCCACUUGCCAAAGCUCACCCAACUACGAUGUGGGAGAAAAGAUUAAAACCCAAGUCACCAGACUGCACAUUCAAUGUAUUUUUCUCACUUGUGUUUCUGUGUAUAAUCUUGCAGUGAUUUUUGAAGGAAAUGACCUGGUACAUUGUGCUUUCAGAGCAUCUGUUUGUUACCUACUAACAAAGCACUUUUUCUCUUGAGCUCAAGCUGUUGAAAC